AUUACCUGGUAGUCUUGUUAAAAGGCUGAUUCUCAGGGUCUGGGGUGAGCAGGAAUAUGCAUUUCUAUAAGCUCCCCAGUAAUGUUGAGGCUGCU
rnacentral:pre_miRNA from 1 species